GACGAACGCUGGCGGCGUGCCUAAUACAUGCAAGUAGAACGCUGAAGGAGGAGCUUGCUUCUCUGGAUGAGUUGCGAACGGGUGAGUAACGCGUAGGUAACCUGCCUGGUAGCGGGGGAUAACUAUUGGAAACGAUAGCUAAUACCGCAUAAGAGUAGAUGUUGCAUGACAUUUGCUUAAAAGGUGCAAUUGCAUCACUACCAGAUGGACCUGCGUUGUAUUAGCUAGUUGGUGAGGUAACGGCUCACCAAGGCGACGAUACAUAGCCGACCUGAGAGGGUGAUCGGCCACACUGGGACUGAGACACGGCCCAGACUCCUACGGGAGGCAGCAGUAGGGAAUCUUCGGCAAUGGACGGAAGUCUGACCGAGCAACGCCGCGUGAGUGAAGAAGGUUUUCGGAUCGUAAAGCUCUGUUGUAAGAGAAGAACGAGUGUGAGAGNGGAAAGUUCACAC
rnacentral:rRNA from 1 species